UACGUAGGUGGCAAGCGUUGUCCGGAUUUACUGGGCGUAAAGAGCGCGCAGGCGGUCGUUCAAGUCGCGUGUGAAAGCCCCCGGCUCAACUGGGGAGGGUCACGCGAUACUGAUCGACUCGAAGGCAGGAGAGGGAAGUGGAAUUCCCGGUGUAGUGGUGAAAUGCGUAGAUAUCGGGAGGAACACCAGUGGCGGAGGCGACUUCCUGGCCUGUUCUUGACGCUGAGGCGCGAAAGCUAGGGGAGCGAACGGG
rnacentral:rRNA from 1 species